rnacentral:rRNA from 1 species
AUUGAACGCUGGCGGCAGGCCUAACACAUGCAAGUCGAGCGGAUGAAGGGAGCUUGCUCCUGGAUUCAGCGGCGGACGGGUGAGUAAUGCCUGGGAAUCUGCCUGGUAGUGGGGGAUAACGUCCGGAAACGGGCGCUAAUACCGCAUACGUCCUGAGGGAGAAAGUGGGGGAUCUUCGGACCUCACGCUAUCAGAUGAGCCUAGGUCGGAUUAGCUAGUUGGUGGGGUAAAGGCCUACCAAGGCGACGAUCCGUAACUGGUCUGAGAGGAUGAUCAGUCACACUGGAACUGAGACACGGUCCAGACUCCUACGGGAGGCAGCAGUGGGGAAUAUUGGACAAUGGGCGAAAGCCUGAUCCAGCCAUGCCGCGUGUGUGAAGAAGGUCUUCGGAUUGUAAAGCACUUUAAGUUGGGAGGAAGGGCAGUAAGUUAAUACCUCGCUGUUUUGACGUUACCAACAGAAUAAGCACCGGCUAACUUCGUG